rnacentral:rRNA from 1 species
CCCUUAGACGUUCUGGGCCGCACGCGCGCUACACUGACCAGUGCAACAAGCAUCCGUCCUUGGCCUACAGGCCCGGGCAAUCUUUGAACGCUGGUCGUGAUGGGGAUAGACUUUUGCAAUUUUUGGUCUUCAACGAGGAAUUCCUAGUAAACGCAAGUCAUCAACUUGCAUUGAUUACGUCCCUGCCCUUUGUACACACCGCCCGUCGCACCUACCGAUUGAAUGGUCCGGUGAAGCCUCCGGAUUGGCGCGCACCUCGGUGCCGCCGAGAAGUUGGCUAAACCUUACCAUUUAGAGGAAGGUGAAGUCGUAACA